CCUACGGGAGGCAGCAGUAGGGAAUUUUUCACAAUGGGCGAAAGCCUGAUGGAGCAACGCCGCGUGCAGGAUGAAGGCCUUCGGGUUGUAAACUGCUUUUAUAAGCGAGAAAUAUGAUGGUAACUUAUGAAUAAGGAUCGGCUAACUACGUGCCAGCAGCCGCGGUCAUACGUAGGAUCCGAGCAUUAUCCGGAGUGACUGGGUGUAAAGAGUUGCGUAGGUGGCAUAAUAAGUAGCUAGUGAAAUCUGGUGGCUCAACCAUUCAGACUAUUAGCUAAACUGUUAAGCUCGAGACCGUUAGGGGUAACUGGAAUUUCUAGUGUAGGAGUGAAAUCCGGAGAUAUUAGAAGGAACACCAAUAGCGUAGGCAGGUUGCUGGGACGGUUCUGACACUAAGGCACGAAAGCGUAGGGAGCAAACGGGAUUAGAUACCCUAGUAGUC
rnacentral:rRNA from 1 species